GAUGAACGCUGGCGGCGUGCCCAAUACAUGCAAGUCGAGCGAACAGACGAGGAGCUUGCUCCUCUGACGUUAGCGGCGGACGGGUGAGUAACACGUGGAUAACCUACCUAUAAGACUGGGAUAACUUCGGGAAACCGGAGCUAAUACCGGAUAAUAUAUUGAACCGCAUGGUUCAAUAGUGAAAGACGGUUUUGCUGUCACUUAUAGAUGGAUCCGCGCCGCAUUAGCUAGUUGGUAAGGUAACGGCUUACCAAGGCAACGAUGCGUAGCCGACCUGAGAGGGUGAUCGGCCACACUGGAACUGAGACACGGUCCAGACUCCUACGGGAGGCAGCAGUAGGGAAUCUUCCGCAAUGGGCGAAAGCCUGACGGAGCAACGCCGCGUGAGCGAUGAAGGUCUUCGGAUCGUAAAACUCUGUUAUUAGGGAAGAACAAAUGUGUAAGUAACUAUGCACGUCUUGACGGUACCUAAUCAGAAAGCCACGGCUAACUACGUG
rnacentral:rRNA from 1 species